GUCUCCGUGGUCUAAUGGGUAUGUUACUCGCCUAUACAGCGAGAGGUUGCAGGUUCGAAUCCCGCCAGAGACA